NGGGCACCAUGAGCUUCCAUGCAGUCGAGGGGUAUAGUUCUUCGGAGCUAGAGACCGGACGCCACGCGGUGCGUAACGCGUACUGCAAUCUACCUUGUACAGAGGGAUAGCCCAGAGAAAUUUGGAUUAAUACCUCAUAGUAUUAUGAAAUGGCAUCAUUCUGUAACUUAAAGUCACGACGGAGAAAAGAUGAGCAUGCGUUCCAGUCUACCUGUUCUGCGGAGGUCACGCCUUGCCGAGGCUACGAUGGGGACGGGUCCUGAGAGGCAGAUCGCCCACACUGGUACUGAGCCAGGAACCAACUCACUACGGGAGGCAGCAGUGAGGAAUAUUGGACAAUGGGCGCAAGCCUGAUCCAGCCAUGCCGCGUGCAGGAUGACGGUCCUAUGGAUUGUAAACUGCUUUUAUACGAGAAGAAACACUACUUCGUGAAGUAGCUUGACGGUAUCG
rnacentral:rRNA from 1 species